rnacentral:snRNA from 14 species
AGCUUUGCGCAGUGGCAGUAUCGUAGCCAAUGAGGUUUAUCCAAGGUGCGAUUAUUGCUAAAAGGAUUUGAGUUCAAUCUACAGAUCCAUAGGAGAAACGGGUAGGCAUGGGGUUACACAUGUGA